rnacentral:rRNA from 1 species
AUUGAACGCUGGCGGCAUGCUUUACACAUGCAAGUCGAACGGUAACAGGGUGCUUGCACCGCUGACGAGUGGCGAACGGGUGAGUAAUGCGUCGGAACGUGCCGAGUAGUGGGGGAUAACGCAUCGAAAGGUGUGCUAAUACCGCAUACGUACUGAGGUAGAAAGUGGGGGACCUUCGGGCCUCACGCUAUUCGAGCGGCCGACGUCUGAUUAGCUAGUUGGUGAGGUAAAGGCUCACCAAGGCGACGAGCAGUAGCGGGUCUGAGAGGAUGAUCCGCGACACUGGGACUGAGACACGGCCCAGACUCCUACGGGAGGCAGCAGUGGGGAAUUUUGGACAAUGGGCGCAAGCCUGAUCCAGCCAUGCCGCGUGUCUGAAGAAGGCCUUCGGGUUGUAAAGGACUUUUGUCCGGGAGCAAAUACCCAGUGCUAAUAACGCUGGGGGCUGAGAGUACCGGAAGAAUAAGCACCGGCUAACUACGUGCCAGCCGCCGCAGUAAUAC